rnacentral:ncRNA from 1 species
CUGUCUACACAAAAAGAUUGAGCUUCGGUAUCGAAACGUACUAAGUUGUUGCUUUCAAAUUUAGAGAAACCCUGGAAUUAACAAAAUCGGCAAUCUGAGCCAAAUCUUGUUUCCGGACAAAACUAAGGUUCAGAAGAAGAAAAGGAUAGAUGCAGAGACUUUUAAUGGAACUAUCUAAUAACAUGAAGUAAAAUGUGUUGAUACAGGGAUCUUAUACAUUGAGAUUUCAGAAAG